GACAACAGCGUUUGACAGUUGAAUAAAACGAAGAAAAUCUCUAAAAAUCAAACACCAGAAGCCGCAAAAGCUCCAUUUUAAACACACUUUCGAGUGGCAAGUGCCAAAUGGCAGCAGCAGCACCAGAGACAACAACUUCAUUGAUCGGCAGAGGGGAAACCCUAUAGAGAAGGCCAGCAGGGAAAGCCUGAAGAGAGGCGCUCCAAGGAGCAGCAUUUGAUGGCAUUGUAAACAAGUGGCACCCUCUAUUACACUUUGCCACCCAGCAGCCCCAGCCCCGUUUCUGAACUUGCCUCAAAUUGCUGUCAUUAACUGGAAAGUGCAGGGAAGCUACAACAAAAUUACACCAACAAUCGGAAAAGACAAAGAGCUCCUUGUUGUUGACCUGACAAGGACAACUAUUCCAGAUAUAUAUACUGUAAGGACAUGGCGUGUCUCACUCGCCCUCCCACUUUUUUCCCACUUCCCCCUUCUGACUGUCUGUCAGAGUGUUUUUAUAUAGUGCCUCGAUGUUUAUUUACACAGCUGAGACAAUUACAUUCAAGUGUGUGGAGAGUGUGCAUAGAGUGGACCGUGGUACCCUCCUCAGUUAAGACACAGAAAACAAGCUGAAAAAUUGCUGAGAGCAGCUCAAUAAAAACUACACACGAUUUGCGCGUGCCAUCGCCGACAAGGAUAAUAAACAAGGCAACUGUCUCUCUCAAGUCUCCAAGACAAAAGAAACGAAUGGAAGGAAAAACUUAUCUUGACUGGACGGAACGAGAACCCCAGCUGAAAUGUAAGGAAUGUAUUAUCGAAUAAAAUACAUUUUGAAAAGUGAAG